UCUACAUUCUUAUCUUCUUUGCCUGCAUUUGUUAAAAUUCAGUAAUAAAAUAAGCAAUCAAUGAUCAAUAAUUCAUCAAUUGCUAUCUUAUAUCAAAGCUCAUCCCAACACUAAUGUUAGAUUGCUGACACACGAUUAGUGACAAUGUUCGUAUAGGCACAACAGGAUAACAAAUCCAUCAAAUUUCUUUUAGCAACUGUAGCAUGAUCUUUUCAAUUUUUUAAGUUUCAUUAGUGACAACAAAUAAGAACAGCAUGUGAUGACUCUCUCUAACAGAUGCCCAUAGAUCAAGGCAAUAUGAACAAUGAACACAUUUAUAUGGAGGGAAUGAGUCUCCAUUCUCUUUUCCCACUUUGUUAUUCAUAUAACUUGAUAGGGCCUUAAAAUAGCAGACAUUCAGUCGUAAGAGUACUUCAAAAUUAAAAAACCAAAAUUUUACUUUUUCUUUAGCCAUUACUGUCUUUAGAGCACAGAAGACUCAGAGAUUUCUACCUCAAGAUACGUAGGUGUGUGCUUGUACAAAUUGACAAUGUAUAGCUGCUUACUCAGCAGCCUCAUUAGAGUACUGGAGACCCAGUCCUCAAGAAGUAAUACAAUCUCGAGUGAAACGUAGGUAGUACUUUACAAACAAACACCCGAGAUUGUAUUACUUCUUGAGGA
rnacentral:misc_RNA from 1 species